CUAUGAGUUUGAUCAUGGCUCAGAUUGAACGCUGGCGGCAUGCUUUACACAUGCAAGUCGAACGGUAACAGGGAGCUUGCUCCGCUGACGAGUGGCGAACGGGUGAGUAAUGCGUCGGAACGUGCCGAGUAGUGGGGGAUAACGCAUCGAAAGGUGUGCUAAUACCGCAUACGAACUGAGGUUGAAAGUGGGGGACCUUCGGGCCUCACGCUAUUCGAGCGGCCGACGUCUGAUUAGCUAGUAGGUGAGGUAAAGGCUCACCUAGGCGACGAUCAGUAGCGGGUCUGAGAGGAUGAUCCGCCACACUGGGACUGAGACACGGCCCAGACUCCUACGGGAGGCAGCAGUGGGGAAUUUUGGACAAUGGGCGCAAGCCUGAUCCAGCCAUGCCGCGUGUCUGAAGAAGGCCUUCGGGUUGUAAAGGACUUUUGUCUGGGAGCAAAUACCCGGUGUUAAUAGCGCCGGGGGCUGAGAGUACCAGAAG
rnacentral:rRNA from 1 species